UACAGAGGGUGCAAGCGUUGUUCGGAAUUACUGGGCGUAAAGCGCGUGUAGGUGGCGAUGUAAGUCGGGUGUGAAAUCCCUCAGCUUAACUGAGGAAGUGCACUCGAUACUGUGUCGCUUGAGUGUUGGAGGGGAUGGCGGAAUUCCCGGUGUAGAGGUGAAAUUCGUAGAUAUCGGGAGGAACACCUGUGGCGAAGGCGGCCAUCUGGACAACUACUGACACUGAGACGCGAAAGCGUGGGUAGCAAACAGGG
rnacentral:rRNA from 1 species